rnacentral:rRNA from 1 species
GACGAACGCUGGCGGCGUGCUUAACACAUGCAAGUCGAACGGAAAGGCCCUGCUUUUGUGGGGUGCUCGAGUGGCGAACGGGUGAGUAACACGUGAGUAACCUGCCCUUGACUUUGGGAUAACUUCAGGAAACUGGGGCUAAUACCGGAUAGGAGCUCCUGCUGCAUGGUGGGCGUUGGAAAGUUUCGGCGGUUGGGGAUGGAUUCGCGGCUUAUCAGCUUGUUGGUGGGGUAGUGGCUUACCAAGGCUUUGACGGGUAGCCUGCCUGAGAAGGUUACCGGGCACAAUGGGACUAAGGGACGGCCCAGAAUCCUACCGGAGGCAACAGGGGGGAAUAUUACACAAUAGGGGGGAGCCUGAUGCAACAACCGCGGGUGCGGGAAGACCGCCUUCGGGGUAAAAACCGAUUUCGCCUGUGACGGAGCCUGAGUGACGGUAAUGGGUAAAGAAGCAACGGCUAACUACGUG